AUGCCAUGGUGAGGGCAUUUUCUUAACAUCUCUUUAAACCUCUUCCAUGCAUCAGGAACAACUUUAUCGUCUAUUUGUUUAAAAAGACAAAAAUCAUUCUGGACUUU